rnacentral:tRNA from 1 species
GGCCUGAUAGCUCAACUGGAAGAGCACUGAACUAGCAUUCCAGAGGCCAGGGUUCAAAUCCCUGUUCAGGCCU